rnacentral:rRNA from 1 species
GACGAACGCUGGCGGCGUGCCUAAUACAUGCAAGUUGAGCGAUGAAGAUUGGUGCUUGCUCCCAUUUGAAGAGCAGCGAACGGGUGAGUAACGCGUGGGUAAUCUGCCUUUGAGCGGGGGACAACAUUUGGAAACGAAUGCUAAUACCGCAUAACAACUUUAAACAUAAGUUUUAAGUUUGAAAGAUGCAAUUGCAUCACUCAAAGAUGAUCCCGCGUUGUAUUAGCUAGUUGGUGAGGUAAAGGCUCACCAAGGCGAUGAUACAUAGCCGACCUGAGAGGGUGAUCGGCCACAUUGGGACUGAGACACGGCCCAAACUCCUACGGGAGGCAGCAGGAGGGAAUCUUCGGCAAUGGACGAAAGUCUGACCGAGCAACGCCGCGUGAGUGAAGAAGGGUUUCGGAUCGUAAAACUCUGUUGGUAGAGAAGAACGUUGGUGAGAGUGGAAAGCUCAUCAAGUGACGGUAACUACACAGAAAGGGACGGCUAACUACGUG